rnacentral:rRNA from 1 species
GACGAACGCUGGCGGCGGGCUUAACACAUGCAAGUCGAACGGAAAGGCCCUGCUUGUGUGGGGUGCUCGAGGGGGGAACGGGUGAGGAACACGAGAGCAACCUGCCCUAGAUUUUGGGAUAAGUUCAGGAAAGUGGGGUUAAUACCGGACAGGAGCCCCCGUUGGAGGGAGGGGGGGGGAACGUUUCGGCGGUCGGGGAUGGACUCGCGGCUUACCAGCUAGUUGGUGGGGGAGGGGCUUACCAAGGCUGGGAAUGGUAGCCGGCCUGGGAGGGUGACCGGCCUCCUUGGGACUGCGAUACGGCGCAGACUCGUAUGGUAGGCAGCAGUGGGGAGUCUUGCACAGUGGGCGCGCGUCUGAUGAGGCAGCGCCCCGUUCGUGAUGACGUCCUUCGGGUUGUAAACCGCAUCCGCCUGUGACGAAGCGUUAGUGACGGUACUGGGUAAAUAAGCACCGGCUAACUACGUG